rnacentral:rRNA from 1 species
AGCUAUAUGAAUUUAUAUUUAGUAUUUUCUGCCCAGUGAUUUUUUAACGGCCGCAGUACUUUGACUGUGCUAAGGUAGCAUAAUAAAUUGACUUUUAAUUGAAGUCUAGAAUGAAUGGGAACAUGUGGGAGAUCUGUCUUUAUAAAAUUUUCUAGAAAUUACUAAUAAGGUGAAAAUACCUUAUAAUCAAUAAAAGACGAGAAGACCCUUAGAGUUUUUUUGUUGGGGUGACAAAUAAACAAACCUUAUUUAAAUAUAGAAAAAACUACCUUAGGGAUAACAGCAUAAUUUUAUUAAAAGAUUAUGACCUCGAUGUUGGACUAGGAAAUUAAUAAUUAGAAAUUAAAAUAUUUAGUUCUGUUCGAACUUUUUCUCCU